rnacentral:rRNA from 1 species
GACGAACGCUGGCGGCGUGCCUAAUACAUGCAAGUAGAACGCUGAAACUUGGUGCUUGCACCGAGCGGAUGAGUUGCGAACGGGUGAGUAACGCGUAGGUAACCUGCCUGGUAGCGGGGGAUAACUAUUGGAAACGAUAGCUAAUACCGCAUAAGAGUAGAUGUUGCAUGACAUUUGCUUAAAAGGUGCAAUUGCACCACUACCAGAUGGACCUGCGUUGUAUUAGCUAGUUGGUGGGGUAACGGCUCACCAAGGCGACGAUACAUAGCCGACCUGAGAGGGGGAGCGGCCUCACUGGGACGGGGACACGGCCCAGACUCCUACGGGAGGCAGCAGUAGGGAAUCUUCGGCAAUGGACGGAAGUCUGACCGAGCAACGCCGCGUGAGUGAAGAAGGUUUUCGGAUCGUAAAGCUCUGUUGUAAGAGAAGAACGAGUGUGAGAGUGGAAAGUUCACACUGUGACGGUAUCUUACCAGAAAGGGACGGCUAACUACGUG